ACAGAGUUGAAAUUCUUAAUCAUGAUUUGUGGGAUCUUACAAAGUAAACAAACCUAUGGUAGAACAUGUAAAAUAUUGAUAUACUAGUAUUAUAGCCUAUGCUAUGCAAGAGAAAACAAGGAUCGAGUGGAGGAUGAAACUCAGACAAGAGGCAAGGUUUGCGGUAAUGAAGGUGGAAGAAGAAGAAGAAGCAAGAUCAGACUGUAAGUACGAAAAUCUCUUCUCUGUUGAAGCAAGAUCAUCGGACUGUUAAAAACUGAUGUCGAUGAUGAUUAUCUUGAUGAUCUUGAGGAAGGUGAAAUCUUUUAAGGAAUGUCGUCUGAUUUGUAAAAGGUUAGCGUUUGUGGGAAUGAUUGUUUCUGGAAAUCGAUAAGUUCUUAGUUAUUAGUCUCUCUGUGUCUCCUUUUGAAUCUGUAAAUGUGGUUCUGUCUUUGGGGGCGUUUAGGUUUAGAUUCAGUUGUGUUGUUGUGUUCCGGAUUGCAAUCUGAGCAACAUCGCUUGUAUUGAUUGGUAUAUGAACAUUGAGAUUUAAGUCAGAAGAUUUGGAUUGUGGUUGACUGUUCGUUGAUGUCUAAAUGUUUUCCAUUUCUGAAUGGGAGAGAGGAGGCAGGUGAAGAUGGGGAUCUACGGGUCUGGAGUAUUGUUGAUGACUAGAGAUGUGAAGAACAUGACGUUCCCAAUCAAUCAGAAGACCAUUCUAAUAUAAUAUCUGGUCAACCUCUCAGUGCCAAGUUGUAGAUUGUAACCACGGUUUGUUACGGCCCAUCCUGGUAGGCUGGGAUAGUUGGAACUUUGAUGAGUGACUGCAGCAGCAGCCUCCUACUGUGUAUCAGGUGCUUUCUGAUUUUGUUGCACAUGCUAAGCUCUUUCACCUAUUCAUAGAUAGGUUGACAGAUUCCUUACCGUAAUAAGAUUAGAACUGGAGAAGCUGUUGGGUUAACUUCUGGCUGUCUCCAUAGGUGAUCCCUACCAACCCCGGGAGUAAAAACUAAAGAGAGGUGUUAACAUUGUAUGUUUUUUUGUUCUUUUUAACUCAAAAUUCUGGAGCAGAAUCUAUUUAGAG